UACAGAGGUGGCAAGCGUUGUUCGGAAUUACUGGGCGUAAAGGGCGCGUAGGCGGUUCGUUAAGUCCUGUGUGAAAUCCCCCGGCUCAACUGGGGAACUGCACAGGAAACUAGCGGGCUUGAGUUCGGGAGAGGGAAGCGGAAUUCCGGGUGUAGCGGUGAAAUGCGUAGAUAUCCGGAGGAACACCGGUGGCGAAGGCGGCUUCCUGGAC
rnacentral:rRNA from 1 species